rnacentral:rRNA from 1 species
CCUACGGGAGGCAGCAGUGAGGAAUAUUGGUCAAUGGGCGGAAGCCUGAACCAGCCAAGUAGCGUGCAGGAUGACGGCCCUACGGGUUGUAAACUGCUUUUAUACGGGAAUAACGCGCCUUACGUGUAGGGCUUUGCAUGUACCGUAUGAAUAAGGACCGCCUAAUUCCGUGCCAGCAGCCGCGGUAAUACGGUAGGUCCGGGCGUUAUCCGGAUUUAUUGGGUUUAAAGGGCGCGUAGGCGGCAUGUCAUGCGUGCUGUGAAAUGUCCGGGCUCAACCCGGGCCUUGCAGCGCGAACUGGCGUGGUGGAGUGCGCGGAAAGCAGGCGGAAUUCGUGGUGUAGGGGUGAAAUGCUUAGAUAUGACGAAGAACCCCGAUUGCGAAGGCAGCUUGCUGCAGCGGAACUGACGCUGAUGCUCGAAAGCGCGGGUAGCGAACAGGAUUAGAUACCCUGGUAGUC